AAAGUGAAGGGUUUGAUCCUGGCUCAGAGUGAACGCUAGCGGCGUGGAUUAGGCAUGCAAGUCGAGCGCGAAAGUCUCCUUCGGGAGGCGAGUAGAGCGGCAAAAGGGUGAGUAAUACAUGGCUAACUUGCCCCUGGAACUGGAAUAACCACGGGAAACUGUGGCUAAUGCCGGAUAGCCUCGAGGAGCCUCAUGGUUCCUCGAGUAAAGGUUGGGAUCCUUCGGGACCAUCCGUCCAGGGAGAGGGUCAUGGGCUAUCAGCUAGUUGGCGGGGUAACAGCCCACCAAGGCUACGACGGCUAGGCGGUCUGAGAGGAUGGCCGCCCACAUCGGGACUGAGACACUGCCCGGACUCCUACGGGAGGCUGCAGUCGAG
rnacentral:rRNA from 1 species